UCACCCCUCAAGCCCCCGGCUUGGUGUUGGACUCAGUCGUCGCUCGCCCGGUGACUGGUCUCGAAGACAGUGACGCCGUCCCAGAGGGAACCGGUACGAGGAGCUUUCUUAACCGAAGCAUGUGCCGGGAAGACUCUUGCGGGCGGCGAUCUCUUGCACCCACAAAUUUUUCAAG
rnacentral:misc_RNA from 1 species